CAUUGAUGCUGUGGAUAUAUCUACAUGGAUGUCUCUCCUGAGUUUUUGACAGCUGACAGCUUUACUCUCAGGACAUUAUUCGGCCGACAACCAGGACCUGCUAAUGAAGUUAGGUGAGGCAGGUGUAAUGGUGACUGAAGUCGAAGCCCAGAGAUUCAGAGAGAAACUGUCAAGAUGACGUGGAAGUUAGAGACAAGCCAUGCUCCAGCCCACAAAAGAGUGUCAUUAUUGAAAAGGAGCCAAAACAACCCACUGUGGUCC